rnacentral:rRNA from 1 species
GGCUCAGGAUGAACGCUAGCGGCAGGCUUAACACAUGCAAGUCGAGGGGCAGCAUGACGGAACCUUCGGGUUUUGUUGAUGGCGACCGGCGCAAGGGUGCGUAACGCGUGAGCAACUUGCCCGUUUCAGGGGGAUAACCGGUGGAAACGCCGACUAAUACCCCAUAGCAUCACAUUGAGGCAUCUUUAUGUGAUUAAAGAGAUUCGGAAACGGAUAGGCUCGCGUGACAUUAGCUAGAUGGCGGGGUAACGGCCCACCAUGGCGACGAUGUCUAGGGGUUCUGAGAGGAAGGUCCCCCACACUGGAACUGAGACACGGUCCAGACUCCUACGGGAGGCAGCAGUGAGGAAUAUUGGUCAAUGGGCGCAAGCCUGAACCAGCCAAGUAGCGUGAAGGAUGACUGCCCUAUGGGUUGUAAACUUCUUUUAUACGGGAACAAACCUUGGUACGCGUACCAAAUUGCGUGUACCGUAUGAAUAAGCAUCGGCUAACUCCGUG